GACGAACGCUGGCGGCGUGCCUAAUACAUGCAAGUCGAACGCUUCUUUCCUCCCGAGUGCUUGCACUCAAUUGGAAAGAGGAGUGGCGGACGGGUGAGUAACACGUGGGUAACCUACCCAUCAGAGGGGGAUAACACUUGGAAACAGGUGCUAAUACCGCAUAACAGUUUAUGCCGCAUGGCAUAAGAGUGAAAGGCGCUUUCGGGUGUCGUUGAUGGAUGGACCCGCGGUGCAUUAGCUAGUUGGUGAGGUAACGGCUCACCAAGGCCACGAAGCAUAGCCGACCUGGGAGGGUGAUCGGCCACACUGGGACUGAGACACGGCCCAGACUCCUACGGGAGGCAGCAGUAGGGAAUCUUCGGCAAUGGACGAAAGUCUGACCGAGCAACGCCGCGUGAGUGAAGAAGGUUUUCGGAUCGUAAAACUCUGUUGUUAGAGAAGAACAAGGACGUUAGUAACUGAACGUCCCCUGACGGUAUCUAACCAGAAAGCCACGGCUAACUACGUG
rnacentral:rRNA from 1 species